UAUGAUGAUGGAUGGGCACUAGCAUUAGUGGUGUUAAAGCCUAGAGAAGAUGAUUGUUGAGGUUGUGUAAAACGAAAAGAAGAAACACCACCACCAUGAUUGGUGGUUUCUGACAAGAUCUCGAUGUUUCCUCGAGGUGUCAUCGGAUACGGGUGAGUGUGGGUACCUUCAUAAGUUGUGAUCACGAUGGAUGGAUCAUCGGAUGAUCUUUCGACUCGCUUCUUCACUCCACAAGCUACACUUGUGCACCUAUGGUAACUCCUAUAUAUUUUGUACAACAAUAAAAUUGCUUCAAUCUUUAGAAAAUAUAAUUGACUGAGUGUAUACAUGCGUGUUUUUAAUGAUACCAUGUCAAUCUGAACACGAUGUGUUACGAACUAUCUUUAAUUACAUAAUAUGAAUGUAUCAAAACCCAAAUGAUACCAUGUCAAUCUGAACACGAUGUGUUACGAACUAUCUUUAAUUACAUCAUAUGAAUGUAUCAAAACUCCAAAGGAUAUAGUCAUAUACAUCAUAUGAAUGCAUCAAAACACCAAAGGAUAUAGUCAUAUUAGGGCAACAAAAAAAAGUUUAGAGAGAGAAACAGAUGGAAUCUAGAGAGAGAGAGAGAGUAUACCUAGGGAAAGGGCUGUUUUUCACAGCUUUCUGACCGUACUUUCUCCAUCUAUAACCAUCAUCCAAGUGAUCAAUAUUAGUCUUUGUCAUGAAUGCAAAUCUUGGUUCCCUUUGUCUUUUUGGGUUCUUCUUUUUGGGUUUUAAGCUACGAAAUCCAAUGAAACAGCCACAUUUUAGCUCAAGAAUAAACCACAUAUAUAAAAUAUAUAGUUAAUCAGAAAAAAAACUAAUUAUUUUGUAAUAAAUAAAACAAUUUAGAUAAAAAUAAAAAUAAAAAAUAAAGAUCUGUCAAAUCUAGAAAACUGAUGCACCACAUAAGACCCGUUCGUCAAAUCUAGUUUUGGGUGUGUAUAUGUGUGUGAAAAGGACCUAACUAUUCUUGGUCAAAACAAAGAUCUUGAACAAAACGUGUAUGUGUGAAACUAGAAAUAAUGGUGUUUCUUUUCUUUUCUUUCUUUUUCUGGGUCAGAACCACUGAAUUAAUAUCUGAAAAUUACACAAAAGUUACAUUAACUAUUGGAAUAUAAUUUUCUUGAUUUCAUUAAUUGGCAAUGAAGAAGGAAUUAAGAACUCAUAAAAACUCAUGUGUGUGUGUGU
rnacentral:lncRNA from 1 species